GGUUGCUGUAGUUGACUGUUACAGAGAAACGGUUCCCUCUAGAAACAACUACAGCUGCACUCACCCUCUCCAAAUAAAGCUGAACGUUCGUUAUGUUUUGAAUAAACAACGCAAAGGUAGACAGACUUUCUAGCACAAGGUGGAGCUAGAGACACAUCUCUGAUUUACUUACAUGCCUUCAGGCGGGAGAGGAGCACAAGAAAGGAUCUCGAUCACUCAGCCUUCUCACAUCACCGUGGCAACAUGGAUCAGUCUGACCCAGGAGAGGCUCAGAGGGCAGAUUGGAUGCAACACACACACACGACUCAGUCGCUUCAAGCUGUGAUUUGUAAAACAUGUAGCAAACCAUAGUCAGUUCACAGGAUUUUUGGUGGCUUGGUUGAAUAGAAAACAUUCUCGUAUAACAUCACCACCUCUUUCUGUACAUUAAAAAAUAGCUUGCAAGUGACCUGAUUUUGUUAAUCAAAGUUCAUUAUUGUCUGAAUGGAGUUGCAAUCAUGUUUUGAAUCAAGAUUGUGUCCAUACAUGCUUGUGAGAGAUGUGUACAUCAUGUAGUUUCAUUAGAGGGAGAUUUCAAGUGGUCAUAACUGCAUCCUUCUCUCCAUUUGACUGAUGACUGUCAUUUACUGAUGAAGCCUCUCUUUACUUUAUGAAUUAGUGCAUGUUUUAUGGAAGUUGGUUCACACUAUUAUGUGUUCAAUUGAUGUCAGAGGUCCUGGUUGUGGAGUACAUGCAGUGGAGUCCAAAUGUCCAUUAGGAAAUAUAUAUUUACAAAUAUAUUAUUGGAUUAAAAAAUGUACAUGAAUUUCAAAAUUACUUGGUAUUUGAUAUGGCAGCAGCACUCAAGCUGACUUUAUCAUGUUGUCCAGCAUGAUUUAAAAAUAAUCUAGGUGUUGUUCUGAAUUUCAGUAGGGUUGUGAAUUGGCAGAGAGAGUCACCUGUUUUAUUCUUGAAACAGUUUUUUCUUCUUCUUUUUUUUCUUUUUUUUACACAUUGUUGCUGCAUCCCAAUUUGCCUAAUUAUGCUAUGCCCUAAAAGUAGAUAAUUUUGAGUGUGUAGCAGAAGUAGGUGAGCUUUGGGACACAUUACCAUGCCAUAGUUACAGUAUCUCACAGAAGUGAGUACACCCCUCACAUUUUUGUAAAUAUUUUAUUAUUUUUCAUGUGACAACACUGAAGAAAUGAC